rnacentral:rRNA from 1 species
AACACCUGCACUAUUUGACGUUACCUACAGAAGAAAGCACCGGCUAACUCCGUGCCAGCAGCCGCGGUAAUACGGAGGGUGCGAGCGUUAAUCGGAAUUACUGGGCGUAAAGCGCAUGCAGGCGGCCUGUUAAGUCAGAUGUGAAAGCCCGGGGCGUUAACCUCGGAAUUGCAUUUGAAACUGGCAGGCUAGAGUCUUGUAGAGGGGGGUAGGAAUUUCAGGUGUAGCGGUGAAAUGCGUAGAGAUCUGAAGGAAUACCAGUGGCGAAGGCGGCCCCCUCGGACAAAGACUGACGCUCAGAUGCGAAAGCGGUGGGGAGCAAACAGGAUUAGAUACCCUGGUAG